ensembl:lncRNA
AUGGAAAGACAUGAAAAAAUUUAUCAGCAUGUUCUUUGUGGUUUCACUCAUAUGUAUAUCCCUGCUUUAAUUAGAGCUGCAUAUUGCUGGAAUAAAAAAAAUUUUCUUUGAAAAUAGUGAAAAGAAACUUUUGCCAUUCCUUUUACCUGCUUAGACUUUUUUUUUUUUUUGCGGUACACGGGCCCCUCACUGUUGUGGCCUCUCCCAUUGCGAGCACAGGCUCCGGAUGCGCAGGCUCAGCGGCCCAUGGCUCACAGGCCCAGCCGCUCUUGCGGCAUGUGGAGUCUUCCCGAACCGGGGCAACAAACCCGUGUCCCCUGCAUCGGCAGGCGGACUCUCAACCACUGCGCCACCAGCAAAGCCCCUGCUUAGACUUUUAUGUGACUUGUAUUAUCUACUGUUUAAAGGGAAUGAGUGUAAAAAAUAUUUGCAUAGAAUUAGGCAUAUUUUUAAUAAUAUUCUUUUAUAUAUAUUUGUGUAAACAUAGUAUUCUUCAGAAAAUAACGUUGAAAGUUCUACUCAGGAGUAAUCUUCCUUAACCCUUUAAAAUUUUUAUUUCAUAUUUUCAUUUUAGUUAUUCAUUAAAAUGUUAGUUUCCUACUGUUGGUAUUAAAUAUUUAACUUUUAAAUGUUGAGGCCACAUUGUGAAUAAUAAAAAACGUUACCUAAUUAGGAGACUAAGAAAGGGUUUGUCGUACAAUCUUUGUGUAUAUGCUUCAAGUUAUUUGACCCAGAAAUGUCAUCCCUAAAAAUUUCGAGUAGUAAUUACUUACCAAACUUAAAAUUUUCUGUAAAUAUAAAUUUUUCUUUAAGACAGAAAAAAAAUAUAUCAUGGCUAGAACUUUGAUCUUUCUCUGCAACUAGAUAGUUUAGUGUGAAAUAGUAUUACUGGGUUUUUUUAUUAUUAUUAUAAAGUCUUUUCAAUCCACAUUGGAAACCAAUUUGUGUUUUUAUUUCUUAAGCUGUCAGUUCUGUCCUACCUGCUUGCAUUUUUUUUUUUAAGUACACAUCAUAGCUUGAGAAUGUACUAGUCAUUUUUCCAAAGUGACCACAUUGUAUUUUUAAUUUGCUUGUUAGAGUAGUUAAGGCUUUGGGUGGCAGUCAUGGAGCCGGACCUUAAAGACAUCUGCAGGAGCUUGCUCAGUAGUGAGGAGCAGAAAGAGUGUUCCAGAAAGAAGAGUGGUCCAGCAGAUGUAGGGGGAGGUGCCACACACAGGUGGGAUUGCAGCCUGUGUUCUAUUAGGACGCUUGUGUGGUGUCUGUGGUCAAGAGUAACUGAGGCUUUUCAUAUGACAGGAAAGGGAUAAUUCAUCAUGAUCCUUUAAAUAAGGUAACUGGGUUGUUUAAUGUUUUAAUUAAUAAUUGUCACUGAUUCUAUUUCUACUUAAUAAGCAAUUAAAAAUUACUUUUAAAUUACUUCAUAAGUUGAAGUUAAGUUAGACACAAGGAGGAGAGGUAGUCUGGAUGUUACAGAAAGUUUUGGGGAAUAUUAUCAAGAGUAAAUGUUUCUAACAUGGACAAUGAUGCUUACCUGUUUGUUUUUAUUCAUUUUUUAUUUUAUUGUGAUUUUUUUCUUGUAAAAAGUUUUUAUUGUGAUUCCUUAUUUUUAUACCUGAAUAACAACUUUUGUCAAAGCAAUGAUGGAUAACAUAUGUUUAUUUUAAAAAGGAUAUGUAGAUAAUGUACUGGUAGUAUGUGGUUGGUGGUAUCAUUGAUUGUCUUAAAUAAAAAUAUCUCGGUU